AGCAAACUUCACUUUCUUUACAAUCCCACUUGGGAAGCAAAACUUGUAAUGCAAAUAGCAGAUACGUAAGCAGGUGUGUCAGCAAUCUCAAAAGGUAAUACAGACUUCUCAUUUGGCUAGGUCGGUGGGCAUGUGUGAAACAUUUAUCAUCUAUAGAAUAAAAGGCAAGCAAACCUAAACAAUAAAUGCAAAAUUGAUUUCAACAAAUUGAUUUACAAUUUUGCCUAUUUGAAUUUGCUCCAUUCUCUUGUCGUGAGUUUGAUUUUUUUCAGUCUUUUUCUUUUUAUUUACUUAGGGGCUUUGCAGCCAGUAUGCCUUUAGGAUCCAUUUUCUUUUUUGCAUUGUACCAGCUCCCAAAACGACGCCGUAUUGCUUCCUGUUCCUUUCUUUCUUUCUUUUCUUUUAACUUUUCUGUCUUUUUCUGGUAACUUUUCUUUUCUUUUUUAAAUUCAUGCAUUUCAAAAGUCAAUUCAUACAAACAUACCCUAAAACAAAGCUGUUUUGGUCAUUAGAAAUGACACUUCAAAAGUAUAUAUACCCUUGAACAGCUAUAAUCGGUAUCAACAAUAAGAAUG
rnacentral:misc_RNA from 1 species